rnacentral:rRNA from 1 species
UACGGAGGUGGCAAGCGUUGCUCGGAAUUACUGGGCGUAAAGCGCACGUAGGCGGCUUUCUAAGUCGGGGGUGAAAUCCUGGAGCUCAACUCCAGAACUGCCUUCGAUACUGGAAAGCUCGAGUCCGGGAGAGGUGAGUGGAACUGCGAGUGUAGAGGUGAAAUUCGUAGAUAUUCGCAAGAACACCAGUGGCGAAGGCGGCUCACUGGCCCGGUACUGACGCUGAGGUGCGAAAGCGUGGGGAGCAAACAGG